AUUGGGCGUACAACAUUGGGGACGUGUCCCCAGCGUGGAGCUCAGGGAAAUGAACCUCACUAAUAGCAAGUUUAUUAUAGACUUGGAAAAGUGGAACAUAAAGCGUUGGGUGGAGUUUGGUAGGGUAUAAUUCAUUUUAUGCAGCCGAAGAAGUCAGACCCA
rnacentral:sRNA from 12 species